GCGGGUGUUCGGCUACAUCACUGGGGCGCCAUGGUGCCUGGAGCUGGGCAGUUUUCUCAUCAGAGUGGGGACUGAUGAUGAUUAUUCCCCACCUUCUAAGAGACAAAGACCAACGAGCCACCACAGCCACCAGUCCCAGAACCCGCCAAUGCUGGGGAACGGAAAAUGAGGGAGUUCAACUCUGAGAAAUGGAAUCAUCGUAUCGCUGAUCUACGUAAACAAACUGAAGAAUUGUCUGAAAGAAAAUAUGACAUGAACUUAUGAAUUCAACAGGUGAAGAUUUACAACUUGAUAAAUCAACUUUGUCAGCUCGAGCUGUAAAAGCCAAAGGUCCGGUGAUGAUCCCAUACCCUUUUUUCCAGUCUCAUGUUGAAGAUUUUUAUGUAGAAGGCCUUCCCAAAGGAAUUUUUUUUUUUUUUUUUUGAGAUGGAGUUUUCACUCUUAUCGCCCAGGCUGGGGUGCAAUGGCGCAACCUUGCUGGUCACUGCAACCUCUGCCUCCUGGGUUCAAGAAAUUCUCCUGCCUUAGCCUCCCAAGUCACUGGGAUUACAGGUGCCCACCACCACACCAGGCUAAUUUUUGUAUUUUUAGUGGAGAUGCGGUUUCACCAUGUUGGCCGGGCCAGUCUCGAACUCCUGACGUCAAGUGAUCUUCCCGCCUCGACUCCUGAUAUCAAGUGAUCUUCCCGCCUCGGCCUCCCAGAGUGCUGAGAUUACAGACGUGAACCCAUGCCUGGCCAGGAAUUUUGUUUUUU
rnacentral:lncRNA from 1 species